rnacentral:sRNA from 1 species
CUAGGUGUUAUUUGCAUAGAUAGGUUUUCUAUUUCCUUAGUCCCAUUCCAUGAUUAUUACAAGGCUCCAACAGAUAAUUAUUCUCAUUAUUAAGGAUCUAGAUUGCUUAUUUGUUCAUGUUGAUUGGUACUUAUCAAAUGUUUGUCAAAACACCCUAGCUUUGUUCUUCAUAAAUAGUGUACCUCAUCAUGGUCAAGCGAGUUCUCCAUUUAAGUUAAUUUCCCCCAUUUUUGUAGUGAUUGUUUAGUGUAUUGAAACAUCUAUUGUCAUUUGAUAUUAUGUGCACAUGUGAAUCAUAGGUUCUAAUUGAUGUGGUCAGUAAAUAUCUUAACUUUAAGAUUUUGUUGCAUAUUGUUUUCAGUGCAAAGACUCAUUGUUUUACUACUUAUGUUUUUAUAUGUCUUAUAAUAACUUAUGACUUUUUGCUGGACACUCAAGAAUAAACUACGUAAACUUU